rnacentral:rRNA from 1 species
UGGGGAAUAUUGCACAAUGGGCGCAAGCCUGAUGCAGCAACGCCGCGUGAGGGACGACGGCCUUCGGGUUGUAAACCUCUUUUAGUAGGGAAGAAGCGAAAGUGACGGUACCUGCAGAAAAAGCACCGGCUAACUACGUGCCAGCAGCCGCGGUAAUACGUAGGGUGCGAGCGUUGUCCGGAAUUAUUGGGCGUAAAGAGCUCGUAGGCGGUCUGUCGCGUCUGCUGUGAAAACCCGAGGCUCAACCUCGGGCCUGCAGUGGGUACGGGCAGACUAGAGUGCGGUAGGGGAGAAUGGAAUUCCUGGUGUAGCGGUGGAAUGCGCAGAUAUCAGGAGGAACACCGAUGGCGAAGGCAGUUCUCUGGGCCGUAACUGACGCUGAGGAGCGAAAGCGUGGGGAGCGAACAGGAUUAGAUACCCUGGUAGUCCACGCCGUAAACGUUGGGCGCUAGAUGUGGGGCACCAUUCCACGGUUUCCGUGUCGCAGCUAACGCAUUAAGCGCCCC